rnacentral:rRNA from 1 species
UACAGGGGGGGCAAGCGUUGUUCGGAAUUACUGGGCGUAAAGGGCCAGUAGGCGGCCAACUAAGUCCGACGUGAAAUCCCCAGGCUUAACCUGGGAACUGCGUCGGAUACUGGAUGGCUUGAAUUCGGGAGAGGGAUGCAGAAUUCCAGGUGUAGCGGUGAAAUGCGUAGAUAUCUGGAGGAAUACCGGUGGCGAAGGCGGCAUCCUGGACCGACAUUGACGCUGAGGCGCGAAAGCUAGGGUAGCAAACGGG